UGGAAGCUUGUUUAAACCAAGUUAAUGGUCUUUUAGGCUUCCUCCAGGUGAAUAGGAAUUCACUUUUUGAAUAAUAAGAAUUAUAUAUCACCACAGGGGGCAUCAGGAUUUUAGAGGUGAUUAGGUGGGGCAUGGCCAAAAAAAGGUUGGGAACCACUGAUUUAGAGAUUAGCAUUGAGAAUGAUGAACACUUGCUGUUGCACACAGAAGUCAGGUGGCUCUCAAAAGGAAAUUGCCUGAGACGCUUUUAAACAGAAUCAAGCUUAUAUCACUUGCAUAUGUCGUGAAAUUUGUUAUAAAGUGGCAGCAGUACAUUGGAAUACAUAAUGAAAACUAUAAAAUACAGUAAAUUAAAGUAGUGCAAAAAGAGAGAGAAAAAAGUGAGUUAGGUUCAUGGGUUCAAUGUCCAUUCAGAAAUCUGAUUUGGCAAAGUGAAGAAGCUAUUCCUAAAUUAUUGAUUGUGUGCCAUCAGGCUCCUGUAUCUCCUCCCUUUUGGACUCAGACUGAACUACAGAGGACAGGGAGGAGGUCUGGCCCCUGCACACAUAGCACAUAGGCCCACAAGCAUGUGGACAUGCCCCAGUGCUCGUGACCCAAAUCCCCAGCUGAAGGUAAAUAGCCCCACUGCCUUGCAGGCAGCCUGAGGAGAGAUGACGGCUACGGGAGUAAACCAAACAGAAAAUCCAGAGUGGAACCUCUAAGGUGGCUGGACGCCAUUAAACAGCCUUCCAGCAGCACCUGCAGCCAAGCUGGUGCCAAAUGCAAUGCUUUGCUUUCCUUUAGACUACAGAGUGAGGGACCUUGAUGACUCAGCAUCCCAGGAUCUUCAGAGUUGUGUCCUGGAGAUUUUACUCCAGUGCUGCUACUCCAUUGUCCUUUGAGAUAGACAGAUGCCAUCAUCAUCACCUCCUUCCUGAUGGUAGCAAUGACAAGAGGGCAAGUUGUGGGCGAUGGGGGUCCUUAAUGAUAGAUGUCACCUCUUGAAGAUGUCCUGGAUGCUGGGGAGGCUAGAGCCAGUAAUGGAGCUGACUGACUUUACCACUACCUACAGCACACUUUGAUCCAGUGCAGUAGCCCACCCCCAAUACCAGACAGUGAUGCAGCCAGUUACAAUACUGUCCAUGGUACAUCUAUAGAAAUUUGCAAAUGUCUUUUGUGACACACCAAGUCUCCUCAAAUUCCCAAUGAAACAUAGCAGCUGUCAUGUCUUCUUUGUAACUGCAUCAAUAUGUUGGCCCCAAGAUAGAUCCAGGAACUUGAAAUAGUUCAUCCUUCCCAUUUCUGAUCCCUCAAUGAGGAAUGGUCGGUGUCCCCUCUGGUCCACAGUGAACUCUUUGGUCUUAUUGACGUUGAGUGGAAAGCUGUUGCUGCAACGCCACUCUUGCUGAUCUAUCUCACUCCCGUACUCUUUCUCGUCACCAUCAGAAAUUCUACCAACGAUAGUUGUGUUGUCUGCAAAUUCAUAAAUGGCAUUUGAGCUGUAUCUAGCCACAUAGUCACGGGUGUAGAGAGAGUAGGGCAGUGGACUAAGCACAUAUUCUUGAGGUGCACCAAUCACAGCAGGGGGAUAUUAUUUUCAAUUCACACAGACAAUGGUCUUCCAGUGAGGAAGUCAACAAUCUAGUUGCAGAGGCCCAGGUUUUGGAGCUUUCUGAUCAGAACUGUGUGAAUGAUCUUGUCAAACGCUGUGCUGCCUAACAUAAGUAUCAAUAUUGUCCAGGUGAUCCAAGGCUGUAUGAAGAGCCAAUGAGAUCGCAUCCACUGUAGACCCAUUGUGGCGUUAAGACAAAUUGCAGUGGGUCUAGGUCUUUGCUUCGGCGGGAGUUGAUUCUAACCAUAACCGACCACUCAAAGCACUUCAUCAGCGUAGAUGUGAGUGCUACUGGUCAACAGUCAUUAAGGAAGCUCACCCUGCUCUUCUCGGGACUGGUAUAAUUAUUGCAACUUUGAAGCAGGUAGAACUUCCAAAUGUAGCAAUUAAAGAUUUCUAUGCACUUUUUAAAACUGAUAAAAAUAUUUGAAGACUUGAAUGCUUCAUUCAAUAAUCAACUCAACAAUAUUGGGCAUCAGAUUGUUUAUUUGUCAGAAUUAUUGGCAAAGUUUAAUGAAAUCAACCUUCGAUUACAAAGAUUGCAAAGAAGAUUAUGAGUCUUAUCAUAGUCAAAUCAGUUGUCUCCAUAUUUCUGCACAAGUUAACCUGCAACAUUACCUGGCACAACCUUUUCUAAUUUCCAAGCAUCUCUGAGUUGGACGAGAAAGAAAGAAUACCAGAUGAUGGUUCUCAAGUAUGCUGUGCCCACCUGGGUGAGCUGCAUAAAAACUUGUCAGAUAGACAUUUCAGGAUCUUCGCUUGAUCCAAGUACCAGACUGGGUAAUAAAUCUAUUCCUGAACACUUGCAGUGAGGAACUAACAGGAAGCAUGGAGGAAGAAAAAAAUGACUGAGCUGAAGCUCAAAGUAUCAUAACAAGACCUUUGGUUGCCGAAAGAGAUCUCUGAGCACUAUCCUGCACUGUGGAAAGAGGUCAAGAUAUUCUUUAUUGCCUUUCCAACGUCAUAUUUAGUGGAGCGUGGCUUCAGUGCCGUCGCCCAACUUCGUUCAAAGCUGUGAAACAGACUGUAAAUAACUGAACUUGUGGAUCUGAGAUUCCUUCUGAGUGACAUUCAGCCUGAUCUCGAAAGCAGAUAUCACUGUACCAAGCCCAUCCAUAUUUUCAUCUUAUUUUCUUUCACUGUGCAUCACAAGUCAAAAUUCUUUAUAGUUUUUAUGUAACAGUUGGAAAGGGAGGGGGCACUUGAGAUGUGGUCUGGGAGCCAAAGGGGCUGAUAACCCAAAAAAGUUUGGGAACCACUGAUAUAAACAUCAAAUAAAAAUAUGACAUAUUUAAUUGAACAAUUAUAAACUCAAAGUUCAAAAGACUUUGAACAUAAAAUCAAAUAUUAGAACACAACAAUUGGAAAGAGGUACUAAACAUUUUUGACAACACAGUUAAUUGAGAAACAAUGAAAUAGAUUUGGACAGAUAUUUAUGUGAUAUUUACAUUUUUAAUCACUAAAAGGAAAGUAGCUAUGGAUAACUAGACAUCAGGACAUUCAACCUGGAUAAUCUAAUCAUCCCAACCCUUUACUCUAACCCUGUUAAAACUUAUCUAAAUGUUCAGAAAAAAUGACAUUAUUCAGCAUAGGAAAAAUAGAUAAUUUCUACCUAGUACUUCACAAGGAAGGUUUGUUACCAGGAGAGGUUGCUCAAUAGAGAGUUUGAGGGGUAUCUUUCUUAAUCUAAUUAGAUUUUAAGAGUGUAUUUUCUUAGAAAGCUGAUUCCCAAAGCCAUGUCAACAGCCAUAGAAGGAUAAUUUUGAACCAACACUGGAUAAAAUAAUACAGUAUCUGAUUUGGAAAUAUAGUCAAUUCCAGCUAAUCAAUCCAUCAGAUAAUCAGGGCAGCCACUUAUUGGGGACAACUCUUAAAGAACAAAAUCUAAUCAGGAAAAUAGCCAAGAUUCCCUUAAAUUAUUUAAGGAUUGGAGGGCGCCCAUUCAGAAUAGAGAUGCGAAGAAAUUUUUUUAGCCAGAGGGUGGUGAAUCUGUGGAAUUUGUUGCCACGGGCAGCAGUGGAGGUCAAGUCUUUGGGUGCAUUUAAGGCAGAGAUUGAUAGGUAUCAGAGUAGCCAAGGCAUCAAAGGUUAUGGUGAGAAGGCAUGGGAGUGGGACAAAAUGGGAAAAUGGAUCAGCUCGUGAUAAAAUGGCGGAGCAGACUCAAUGGGCCGAAUGGCCAGCUUCUGCUCCUUUGUCUUAUGUUCUUAAUUGGGUCAGAUCCGUGCACUUGUGUGGUUAUUAGGCACUGCACUGUACUUACAGCGAACAUUAUUUAAAUAGCAUCAGUUACGUGUGUUUGUGUUCAAAAGGCAGUGACUUUUGACGUUGAUAGUUCGUGAGAAAUAAGCACUACUUUGGUCACUGAAGUUUCAGGUAUUCAGGCUUUGAGAUGCCAGAAAUGGCAAGGAGUGAAAAUUAAAUGAUUUCACUAGGUCAACAAAUUAGGACCUACAAUCUGCUUGAAUGUUACAAUGAAAACGAAGAUUUGAAGGAGGCAAAUGUCAAAAGCAUUGUAUGAAGACAGUCCAUUAUCUGCACCAGGCGUCUGCAUGAUCUUGUUCCUUUAUAGUCAAUCGAAAGAACACAGCAGCAUACUCUGGAUGAAUUCCUCCAUUGAUAACUAUUAGGAACUAAUAUACAGUUUUAUAAUACAGGCAGUCCCCAGAUUACGUACGAGUUCCGUUCCUGAGUCCGUCUUUAAGUCGGAACAAGUACAUCCUGUAUUAUUUAGCGUCAGUCAAACAUUUGUCUUAGUAUAUAUUUCACCUUUCUAUGCAUAUAAAACACUUAAGAAACAUACGUAUUACAAUAAUUAAACCACUGCGUUGCUUGGUAAUAAUUGUAGCUUUCAUUGGGGCAGGGCCUUUCACAUGCUCCAUUAUUCUCACUUUAUCCUUUAAAAUUGUUCCGAGCGUUGACCGACUGUAGCCUAAUGCUUUUCCAAUGACCGAUGGCAUUUCACCGCUUUCCAAACGCUUUAUUAUUUCCACUUUAUUUUCAAUUGCGAUCACUUCCCAUCAAUGGAACAGAAACACUGCGGGCGGUGGGUCCUGACCCCCGCCGGCUGCCGAGGUUCGCUGGAUCCUAAGGACCACCGCACUGAAUUCCCCGGAUCCAAAAGUUCACCACACUGAGGCAGGUUAAGUGUGACAAGUGGGGGCUGUGUUGGGUUUGGGUACUGUACUUGAUCCUCCACAAUAUUCCGCGUGGGAAUUUAAACUGGAGGUGGCAGUGGUUUUUUUUUAAAACGAGGUUGAGUUGUGCGCUAGACAUUAACCGGGCACGGGAGUCACUGGAUUGACAUCAACCUGGCACGGGAGCGGUCUGUCACUGGAUUGAACUCGGGAAACUCCGUUCUCCAGCCCAGCGCUGAUCUCACUGCGCCACCGGCUGACUGGAACGGGGGGAGAGGGUGAAUCUUACUAAGAAAAAUUUAAGCCAAAUACAAAGUUACACACUCAACACAGUGUCAAUGGCAACAACUUAAAAUGGCGUACGGCAUCGCAAUCCGACAAAAUGGCGGACGGUGUUCUCCUUCCUCGGUUUGUAAGUACGAGUUGUCUGUAAGUCGGAUGUUCAUAAUUCGGGGACUACCUGUACUGCCAUAGCAUUGGUAAUGUUCAAAUUUGUUCUGUAUUUCUUUUAAAUAUACAGGUUGUUACCUAGUUUGUCUAUUUUAUACCUUUUUAAGCAUCUCCAUGAAACUUCAGCUAAUUGGGGCAGCUGCUCAACUGGGCUAAAAUGUAUUGGUCCCGACAUGUCCCAAUUAACCAGAAUAUACUGUACUGAGAAAUAGGUAUCCCUACUGGGCAUACUAACCCAAUACAUUUUGAUUGUGCAUAUUUUAAAUAUGAAAAUGUUUGUAACAUUUGUUGGUGAAUUACAAAGAGUCUGAUUUUAAAUGCAUUUUACUUCAAAGGGCGGUAGAUCUUGAAGUAAAAUAUAUGAAUGUCAUACCCUGAAGUAAUUAUGUAACGAGUAUCCAGCAUGCAGGCUUCAUAAGCUACAAAAUCCUUUGGACAUUAUUUCGCACUGGCUACGUUCACUGGAAAUUAAACAUUAUGGCCUUCCAUUUGUAAAAGGCUCUUUAGCAUGUCCAGGUGCUCUAAAGUUUCAAAACAAACUGCAGAUGGAAUUGCAAUAUUAUUGUCACCUCUACCAAGAUGCAGUGGAAAGCUUGUCUUUUAUUUAUUGUUUAUUUAGAGAUACAGCGCAGAACAAGCCCUUCCACCCUAAUGAGCCGCACUGCCCAGCAGCCCACCUAUUUAACCCUAGCCCAAUCACAGAUCAAUUUACAAUGACCAAUUAACCUACUAGCCAUUAAUUUUUUGGAAUGUGGGAAGAAAACACAGCACCCACCCAGAGAAAGUGCAUGUGUUCACAGGAAGGACAUACAAAUUCCUUACAAAUGGUGUCAGAAUGGAACUCAGAAUUCCGAUGACCCGAGCUGUAAUGGCAUUGCACUAAUCACUAUGCUAUACACAUUCAUGUUUGUUCAUAGAGAUGAAAUCAUUACACAGUGCAUUGAGCUAGAACAAGGUAAAACAAUAACAAUGUAGAAUAAAGUGUAACAGCUACAGAGAAAGUGCAAUGAAGGUAGACAAUAAGGUGCAAGAUCAUAACGAGGUAGAUUAAAUUGAGCUCUUCACCUCAUAUUGUACUAGCGAACCACUUAGUAGUUGUCAUUGAGCCUGAAGAUAUACUGGAAGCUGGAGUGACAAACAAUCUACAGGAGGAACACAGCAGGUCAAGCAGCAUCUGUGGUGGAGGAAGACAGUCAGCGUUUCAGGUCGAAACCCUGAUCAGGACAAUGUAUGGAAAGAGAAAAUGGCCAGAGUAAAGAGGAAGGGGGCAGUGGAUGGACAGGGGUCAGUUGGUGAAAUAAAGGAGCAAGGAUGGAUGUUGGGCAUUUUGAAACCAGGUAGAGAAGAGGGUGAGGUGGAAUUUGGAUACAGAGGCAAGUGGAUGAAAAGUGGUGAUACAAGAGAUUGCAGAUGUUGGAAUCUGCAGCAAGAACCAACUGCUGGAGGAGCUCAGUGAGGCUGGCAGUGAGGAAAGAAAGGAACUGACAAAAUUUCAGGUCAACCUCCCCCAUCGUGACUGAUCGGUGGAGGACAGGUAGGCAAACAGAGCUCAGUGGGGAGAGGAGGGGGACUGAAAGUGGAGACAGCUGCUGGAGGGUGAUAAGCAAGAACCAGCACUGUAAUCUUAUAAGGCAGGGGAACCUGAAUGGGGACUCCCUCACUCAGAGGGUGGUGCGGGCGUGGAACGAGCUGCCAGCAGAAGCGAUGGUUGGGGGUUCCACUUCAACCUUUAAGAGAAAUUUGAUUAAGUACAUGGAUGGGAGAGGUCUGGAGGGCCAGAAGCAGCUUGGUGGGACUAGGCAGAAUGACAGUUCAGCACAAACUAGAUGAGCUGAAGGGGCUGUUUCUGUGCUGUAGUGCUCUAUGCCUCUUUAUCAUAUCAAUGGAAACAAUUAGGGAAGAGCUAGGUCGAUAGAACCAGUGGUAGAUAGGCAAUGGUUGGGGGCAUCCAAUUGGGGUAAAAUAUGUGGAUGGAACCAAGAGGAGGAAGGGGAAGAAAAUGGGGAGUCUGGAGGGUUAUCGAAGGGGGAGGAAGGAACAAUAAUGGGGAGACUGAAGGUGGAUGGAAAGGAGAGAGAGAGAGAGGUGGGGACAAAAACACUGGAGCUGAAGGUUACCCGAAAUUGAAAAAUUCAAUGAUCAUUGAGUUGCAGACAAACAUGGAGGGAUAUGAGGUGCUGUUCCACUAGAUUACAUUGGGCCUCAUCCUGGCAAUAAGGCCAAUGACUGACAGAUCAGUAUGGGAAUGAGGAGAAAGGCCAAAAGAGCUUGCAACCAGAAACAUAGGGUAGUGACUGGGGGCAAAGCACAGUUGUUCUGCAAACCUUUUGGCUAAUCUGCACAAAUAGAGUGCAAGCAAAUUGGAGACCAGGGUAGAAAUUAGUAAAGAAGUUGAGAGAAUUGAUGAGUUCUGCACAGAUGCUGAAAACAGCACCAACGUAGUCGAUGUAAUGGAGAAAGUUGCAGAGUGGUACCACAGAAUGAAACACUUCAUUCAAUUGCAGUGGUCAGUUUGACAAUUUAAUAUUAGAAUAUAAAUAAGUUAGCAUCUGUAUAAUCGAAUGCUUUUCUGCCUGAGUGUUGUACUUUUCCACUUACUCAUCUUUUUGAAAAUCUUUUAUUUCCUUUGCACUACAAAAUUGUUCAAGGUAGAAAAUCUCAAUGCAAUUUCUGUUGGAACUCUGCUUAGAUUUUGUAGGAAAGUUGGUAGGUGGAGAAUAUUACUUAAACAUGUCUAAACAUAGCAUGGGCAUCUCUUGAAUUUUUACUUUGCUAACCAAACAUAACGAAUAUUUCCUUCUUAUAAAAAUGUAUGCUUAUAUACAAUAUCUAAUCAACAACUUUCUAUUUUUGUUUUGUUUCUUGUACAUGUCCUCACAAUACCAUUGCAAAUGCAAGAUUAUGUAGAUGAAUGCGCUGGGAGACAUGAAAAAGAGAAAGGCAGCAAUACAAUAUUUUGCUUUGCGAUUUGAUUCUCAACAAGUUUUAAAGCACAGAAUACAAGGACAAUAUCAGCUACAGUUGACAUUCCACAAUACCAAAUACAUUGGUGAUCAUACAAUCAACAGCUUGAAUCAAAAGUGUGUGGUCCUUUAAUUGAAAAUGUAGUACAGAAUCCCAUCUUCAAUAAAUGGGAGUGUAUCCACGAAACUUCGGCUAAUUGGGGAAACCACCUAACUGAACCAAAAGAAAGCACGGCAGUGUCUCUACUUUCUGAGAAGAUUGUAAAGAUUGAGCAUAUCACCUGAAACUUUGACGAACUUCUAUAGAUCCUCCGGUGAGAGUAUACUGACUGGUUGUAUCACAGUCUGGUAUGGAAACACCAAUGCCCUUGAAUGGAAGAGCCUACAAAAAGGUAGUAGGUACAGUCCAGUCCAUCAUGGGUAAAACCCCUCCCCCACCAUCUACAUGGAGCACUGUCACAGGAAAGCUGCAUUCAUCAUCAUGGAUUCCUACCAUCGAGGCCAUGCUCUCUUCUCACUACUGCCUUCAAGGUGGUGGUACGGGACCCUCCAGUUCCACUCCAUCAGGUUCAGGAACAGUUACUACCCCUCAAGCAUCGGGCUCUUAAAGUGAGCCCAUAGGUGAGGAAUGAGUUCAGUGUUGGGGUGGGUGAGGUUGAGCGGAGUUAUCCCCUCUGGUUAAAGAGCCCGAUGCUGUACAAUUCAUGUUCUCAAUAUUUAUUACAUUUUUUUCUUUUUUUAUUUGCACAGCUGAUUGUCUUUUGCACAAUGUUUCCGUGUCCAUCUCUGUCUUGUGUAUAUUCUAUUGAUUCUAUUGUGUUUCUUUGUAUUUAUUGUGAAUGCCUGCAAGAAAAUGAAUCUCAGGGUAGUUUAUGGUAACCUAUAUGCACUGUGAUAAUAAACUUACUUUGAACUUUGAAGCCUCAUCACACAUUCCAGCGACAACAUAGUAUGCCUGCAAAGCUCAACGUAACGACACCACCCCCCCCCCCCCCACCCCCAGGACAGAAUAAGACAUUAACUUAAAGCUAUAUUUACCCUAGUGGUAUUCCCACAGUACUUUUCAAAGAACAGUAAGACAGUUAUCUCCUUGUCCUGUCCAAUUUGUAUCCCCAAUCAAGAUCAUCUACUCUUUAUCUUACUGCUGUUUUGUGACUUUGCUGCCACAUUUCCUACAAAAUAACGCUGACCUUUAAGAUGACUUCACUAAUAAUCAAAGGCUUUAGGAAUGAUCUUAGAUUGGAAUAAAUGCAGAAAUAACACACAUAUACUUUUGCAUUCUCUAUUCUUCCUCUUGCGGGCGGCCAAGGAGCGUAGUGGUUAGCAGAACACUUUUACCGUGCUUCCCACCGCUUCUGGCAAGUCUGUACGUACCCGAUGCAACUGCGGCAAAAUCCUCCAGGUGCUCCGGCUUCCUCCCACAUUCCAAAGACAAACCGUUCGGGCUAGUGAGUUGCAGACAUGCAACGUUGACACCAGAAGCACGACGACACUUGGGCUGCCCAGCACAAUCCUCGCUGAUUUGAUUUGACGCAAAGCGACACAUUUCACUGUAUGUUUCGAUGUAUUUGUGACAAAUAAAGCUGAUCUUAGAUUUUAUUUUGAAUGUACUUUACACAACACAGCACACACAAAGGCUUCAUUCUCCUGUUCUUUUGAUCAUUCUGCUAAUGUGGUCAGAGGACUGGCAUCAGUACUAGAUAUUGGUCCAGAUGAAAGAGCAAUCGCCUUAAAUAUUUUUUUUUAAUUUCAUUCCUGUUAAUUUUAAUCCAAGAAAUCAGUUGCUCUACUCAAUCUACACUGAUCCUUCUAAAAUUUUAAUAGUAAGUGUAUCCCUAUGCGGAAGCAUCCAUAGAAGCUAGGUGUCUAAUAAAAUAGAUCAUAUGAUAUCUGACAUAGGAGUAAAUUAGGCCAUCCAGCUUAUCGAGUCUGUUCUAACAUUCCAUCAUGGAUGAUUUAUUGUGCCUAUCAACCGCACUCCUCCUGCCUUCUCCCUGUAACUUUUGAAGCACUAUUAAUCAACAGAGUACUGAUUGUGUAUGAUCAGCCAUGAUCACAAUGAAUGGCGGUGCUGGCUAGAAGGGCCGAAUGGCCUACUCCUGCACCUACUGUCUGUUGUCUAUUGUCACUGCAGUCUGUGGCAGAGCAUUCCACAGAUUCACCACUCUUUGGCUAAAAAAAAUUACUCCUCACUUCUGUUCUGAAAGGACGCCCCUCAAUUUUGAGGUUGUGCUUUCCAGUUCUCAAUACCCCUACCAGAGGAAGCAUCCUCUUCACAUCCACCCCAUCUAGUCCUUUCAACAUUCGGUAGGUUUCAAUGAGAUCCCCACGCAAUCUUCUAAAUUCCAGUGAGUACAGGCCCAAAGCUGCCAACCCCACCCCCCCAUGUUAACCCCUUCAUUCCCAGAAUCAUCCUUGUGAGCCUCCUCUGGAUUCUCUUCAAUGACAACACAUCCUUUCUGAGAAAAGGAGCCCAAAACUGUUGACAAUGUUCCAAGUGCUGUUUGACUAAUGUCUUAUAAAACUUCAGGAUUAUCUCGCAAACACGAGAAAAUCUGCAGAUGCUGGAAAUUCAAGCAACACACACAAAAUGCCGGUGGAACACAGCAGGCCAGGCAGCAUCUAAAGGGAGAAGCACUGCCGACGUUUCGGGCCGAGACCCUUCGUCAGGACAGCAUCAUCUCCUUGUUUUUAUAUUUUAUGAAAUGAAUGCCAACAUUGUAUUUGCCUUCUUCACCACAAACUCAACCUGUAAAUUAAUCUUCUGGGAGUCUUGCACAGGGACUCCCAAGUCCCUCUGCACUUCUGGUGUUUAAACUUUCUCCCCACUUAGAUAAUAGCCCAUGCUAUUGUUCCUUUUACCAAAAUGCACUGUCAUACAUUUCCCAGCCCUGCAUUCCAUCUGUCACUUCUUUUUGCCCAUUUUCCAAUCUGUCUAAGCCUUGCUGCAAUCGCGUUGCUUCCUCAGCACCACCUACCCACCACAAAGCCAUCAAUUCUAUUAUCUAAAUCAUUGGCAAACAAUGUGAAAAGUAGCAGUCCCAAUACUGACCCCCCACUAAUCACUGAGAGCCAACAAAAAAGGGCCCCCUUUAUUCCCGCUCGCUGCCUCCAGCCUGCCAGCCAUUCCUCUCUAAUUGAGCGAUGUGGGCUCAUUGGGUCAGACCAGCCUGUUACUGUGCUGUAUCUCUAAAUAAAAUAAAGAAAUCCAUAUUGUCUUGCAAUGAAACUCAUCUACCACUCAAGCCAUGUAUCUGGUUAUUUUAAGCAUUGAUAAUUCUUAUUAACUGAAAUCAUCUUAAACUACUUACCAAAAUAAUUCUUCUAAAACAGCAGUGGUAGAAGGUAAAAAAACAACACUUUCAGGAAGAUUUUCCAGAAUACAUGUCAAUCACAACUUUGAGGGCAACAGCUUUGGAUUUCUGCUAAUGUUUUCCUUCGGCUAAUCAAAACAAGGUCAUUAAAUACACAGGCAUAAACUUAUGUCAAGUGCUAGUGAAAAAAUUACCUUUAAACUAACAAGAUCAAAAGCAUUUGGGAUCAUUUUAUCACCAUGCAGUUUUCCUCAAGGGAACUGAAAGAUGUGCUAUGCAUAGAGAAAUAAUGGCACAUCAUUUUUCAGUGAUAUCCCAACACUUAACCAGUUGGUCAAGUUGAUAGGGGCUGGGAUGCUCCCCAUCCCCAUUCUAACAACUUUCUGCAGGAGUACUAUUGACAGUAUCCUGUCUAUCUGCAUCAUUAUGUGCUACAGAAGCUGCAAGGCACUGGACUGCAAGAACCUAGAGGAUCACCCUCCCCCUAUUCAUGGCAUUUACUGGGUGCAUUGUACACAAAGGGCCUAAAGCAUUAUUGAGGUUUCCUACCACCCACCCCACAAUCUCUUUGAUCUACUACCACCAGGAAUGAGGUACAGGAGCAUCAGGACUGGGAAGCCGAUUAAUAGCUUCUUCCUUCUGGCUCUCACCACCAGGGCAGCAAAUUGUUUACCAUACUGUGCAUCUGCUGCACACUACAUGCAUUUUAAAUUAUAUUUUGUUAACUUAUUUGUGGUAAGAUUUUAUUUUAUGUGGUGUGUGUGAUAUGUUUUGUGGGUACAUCAUGACCUAGGGGAACACUGGUUCAUUUGGUUGUAUACAUGUAUAGUCAGAUGACAAACUUGAACUUCAAAAAGGAUAUGAAUCUCAGUAAAUCUAAUUCUGGUUGACCCAUCUUUCUAAAGCUUUCUACUCGAUCUAUUUCUAGUCUUGGUUACAGAAGACUAGUAGCAACUGUAACACAAAAUCAAGAAAUAUGAAGUAAGUAUAGAAAACACUACAAGUAUUCAAUAAGUUAGGCAGCAUCAUGGAGAGGUUAGAGAGCUGAGCUCUCAAGUUAAUGGCCAUUCUUCAGGACUAGUUUUAAGAAGUAAAGAAAAGGAGGAAGGAACCUCAUUGUUGCUUCACAGUGCAGUUCUUCUGUAGUCAGGGCAAAUGUCAAAGCAAAGAAAAUACCCAAUUAUGCUGCAUUUGGGAAAUUUCUACAACAUCUUAACAAAAACCCUCCUAAUGUAUCCUUUUACUUUUACAGAUCAUUUCUAAUUAAGAUUAGCUGCAAAAAUCUGCCUUUUUGCUGCUAACAGGGUAGAAAGGAAAAUCUAUUUUGCCUUAUUGUUUAAAGGAAAAAUGGGCAAUUAUCACAAACUAACAUGUUUUUAAAUAUAUCUUUUUACCCUCAUUUACAAAUGUCCAUCUAUUUUGUUCGACUUCAAACACAAGUUGCAAAUUGGGAAUUGAAUUCACUUACACAGCAUUAAGGAAUAGGUAAGAAAAUAGAGAACAAGGUACAAGGGCAAAACAGAUGCAUUUCAAUACAAGACAAAAGUAAUUUAUUAUUUAUUUUCAUUUUGAGAAACAGCACGGAUAAGGUGCUUUUGGUCCAAUGAGCCACACCACCCAGCAGCCCAUCCAAGGACUAACACUAGCCUAAUCCCAGGACAAUUUACAUUGUCCAACUAACCUACUGAACAGUACAUCUUUCGACUGUGGGCGGGGGGGGGGGG